CAAUAGCGUAUAUUAAGGUUGUUGCGGUUAAAAAGCUCGUAGUUGGAUUUCUGUUGAGGACGGCCGGUCCGCACUAUGUGCGUGUAUCUGGUUCGGCCUCGGCAUCCUCUCGAAAGCCGUUUCUGCGCUUGAUUGCGUGGUUCGGACUUCGGGACUUUUACUUUGAGGAAAUUAGAGUGUUCACGGCAGGCAAGCGCCUUGAAUAUAUUAGCAUGGAAUAAUAAUAUAGGAUCUUGGUCCUAUUUUGUUGGUUUCUAGGGCUAAGAUAAUGAUUAAUAGGGACAAUUGGGGGCAUUCGUAUUAACGCGUCAGAGGUGGAAUUCUUGGAUUGCGUUACGACGAACUACUGCGAAAGCAUUUGCCAAGGAUGUUUUCAUUGA
rnacentral:rRNA from 1 species